UCUGCAGGACGACCUGUGAGCAUACCUANUCCUCUGCAGGACGACCUGU
rnacentral:ncRNA from 1 species